GUGUGUGUGUGUGUGUGUGUAGCUGCUCCUCCCCCAGGAAGGAACAGUGGAAGUGAUCGUGCCGCGGGUGGAGGCAGCAAACUACCUGUUCGUGCAGCAGCACACACACCCCUCCUACUACGCCCUGCAGGGUCUCGCAGAACAGAUGCUCUUCUGCUACUCUCGGCCAGGCUGCCCCAGUCUCCCCGCGCCUGUGGAAGCGGGGGUGUUGUGUGCGGCGCCCUCUGUUGACGGCAGCUGGUGGAGAGCUCAAGUUAUCCAGCACUACAAAAACUCCAACUACGUGCAGAUCAGAUAUGUGGACUACGGUGGUUAUGUGACGGUUAACCUCAGCGCCCUCAGACAGAUACGGUCUGCGCUUCCUACGUGAUUUGGAUUAAACUGCACUCUCCCUUUUCAUUCCCAUUUGUUGAUGCUCCCUUAUAUUCACAGAUCAGAUUUUGUGUCGCUGCCCUUCCAAGCAUCUGAAGUCAUGCUAGAAAAUGUCAGACCUUUGCCAGGGAGAGAGGAGUUUUCCCUCGAGGCCAGAGAAGCACUUGAGGAAUUAACACGAGGAGUGGCUUUAAUCAUAAAGGUAAGACACACGCAUUGUGAUUGUCCUUUAUGUCCUUCCCUUUUGAUCUCUUGCUCUCCAAAUGAAAGCAGUGCUCUUGUGCCCCAAUUUGCCCCCUGAGAUCAGACCUUCAUAUUUAUCCAAGUUUCAUGUGUGUCGCGCCUGUGCUCGGAGAGCAGCGGGGAAAGUUUUGGUCUAAAGUUGCGUCUGCGUCAG
ensembl:lncRNA